AUAACUACUGGAAACGGUAGCUAAUACCGCAUAAUCUCUUAGGAGCAAAGCAGGGGAACUUCGGUCCUUGCGCUAUCGGAUGAACCCAUAUGGGAUUAGCUAGUAGGUGAGGUAAUGGCUCACCUAGGCGACGAUCCCUAGCUGGUCUGAGAGGAUGAUCAGCCACACUGGGACUGAGACACGGCCCAGACUCCUACGGGAGGCAGCAGUGGGGAAUAUUGCACAAUGGGCGCAAGCCUGAUGCAGCCAUGCCGCGUGUAUGAAGAAGGCCUUAGGGUUGUAAAGUACUUUCAGUUGGGAGGAAGGCGUUGGUGCUAAUACCAUCAACGAUUGACGUUACCAACAAAAGAAGCACCGGCUAACUCC
rnacentral:rRNA from 1 species